rnacentral:rRNA from 1 species
GACGACGCUGGCGGCGUGGAUUAGGCAUGCAAGUCGAACGGUAUCAUCCUUUCGGGGGUGAGAGAGUGGCGAACUGGUGAGUAACACGUAGGUUAUCUACCCUCAAGACGGGGACAACCCAGGGAAACUUGGGCUAAUACCGGAUGUGAGCAACUUUUAGUUGUUUGAAAGGUGGCGUAAGCUGUCGCUUGGGGAUGAGCCUGCGUCCUAUUAGUUAGUUGGUGAGGUAACGGCUCACCUAGGCAAUGAUAGGUAGGCGGCCUUAACGGGUGGUCGCCCACACUGGGAUUGAGGUACGGCCCAGACUCCUACGGGAGGCAGCAGUCGAGAAUAGUCUACAAUGGUCGGAAGACUGAUAGUGCGACGCCGCGUGAACGAUGAAUCCCUUCGGGGUGUAAAGUUCUUUUAUAUGUGAGCAGUGCUUCUUAUAUUAACAGUAUGGGGAGAGAGAUAUUAGCAUAUGAAUAAGCAACGGCUAACUCCGUG